GAAGGACCCAGGGUACCAGGAGCUCAUGGAGGCCCGGGAGAUGAGGAGAGAAGGGAGGAUGAGCAGUGAACAACCAUGUGGAAAACCCCUCAGAGCGUGAGGCUUGCUCUCACUUCUUCCUGUUCAUGAUCUGCUUGGAAAUCCAGUUCAUCCCAUCCUGGGGGAAAGAGAGCUGCAGGUGCUGCCGUCACCAGGUCCUGCUUGUUGGCAAACACCAGCAGCGGGACGCCCAUCAGAGAUUCCUCCUCAGUGAGCUCUGCCAGCUCCUGCCAAGAGAGAACCCCUUCCCAAGAAUGCUACUGCUCCCACAGUGCCACGUUCCUCUCUCCGGCACUGGUGCUGAGUCACAAGAAGCCAUGAAGUCUCCAUGAUCCAAGGGGGAGAUGGGAACCCUUGAAGCUACAUCUGCCCUGAGGAGAACUUGGAGCCACACUCAGCACUACCUGGGGGACAGAAUGCUCCUGGCACCCGGAGCGCCUUGGGCAAAGGGCAGCUGCUGCCAGCCCACGCUGUCUGGCACCCACACCUCUGUUCCUGGCAGAGUCUAGCGUCAGCAUGGCCUCGGCUGACACUGUCUCACCUUCCAUUCUUUGCUUUGCUUUCCAGCUUUUACAUCUCCCAAUUCACUACCUGAGUAAAUGGCUUUGUUACAUGGCUGUAUCAGAGACAGGCACCCUGUGUCAGAUGUCCCUGGGGCAUCAUCCCCAGCUCGGGUAGGAUGAACAGAGCUGCUUGGGGCAGGUCUGCGGUGGGGUGGGACAGAUCUGCAUGCUGAGGCCCUGAUCACGAUCCCUUCCCACACAGCUCAGGGAACAACUCAACCCCCAAGGGGGCAGCCCAUAGAGAAUAGACUUGUUUCCCACUUCUGUCCCCAGGACCCCACCACCGUCCCUUGCCCAGACCCUUCAUACCUGCCCUGUCUCCUCAAAGCGCUUCUGGUCUGCACUGUCAAUGACAUAAAUCUGCCAGGGGGGACAAAAGGGACAGCUGGCAGCCGCUCCUCACACAGCACACAGCCAUCUGCUUGCUGCCGGGCUCUGCUAGGGCAUGGCCCCUGGCUCACCAGCAGGUCGGUGCUGCCCAGGUACUUCCUCCAGUAAGGCCGGACGGCGCGCUGCCCACCGAUGUCCCAGAUGUUCAGCUUGAAGCCAUGUGAGUGGACGCUCUUGAUGUUGAACCCCUGUGCAGGGAAGCAAACUCCAGCAUCACCCCAGGGAAAGAAAGGCAGGACCCACCGCCCUCCCCCUCCAUGUGCUCCAGAGCAGCCUGUACCUGGGUGGGUGUGAUGGUGCUGACUUCCUCAGACGCCAGGUGCUUCAGCAGCGUGGUCUUGCCCGCAUUGUCCAGCCCCAGCAGCACG